rnacentral:rRNA from 1 species
GUGCCAGCAGCCGCGGUAAUACGUAGGUGGCAAGCGUUGUCCGGAUUUACUGGGCGUAAAGGGAGCGUAGGUGGAUAUUUAAGUGGGAUGUGAAAUACUCGGGCUUAACCUGAGUGCUGCAUUCCAAACUGGAUAUCUAGAGUGCAGGAGAGGAAAGUAGAAUUCCUAGUGUAGCGGUGAAAUGCGUAGAGAUUAGGAAGAAUACCAGUGGCGAAGGCGACUUUCUGGACUGUAACUGACACUGAGGCUCGAAAGCGUGGGGAGCAAACAGGAUUAGAUACCCUGGUAGUCC